GUCCUGGCCUAACGAUGAAUGCUUGGUGUGGCGGGUAUCGAUCCCUGCCGUGCCGAAGUUAACGCGAUAAGCAUUCCGCCUGGGAGUACGGUCGCAAGGCUGAACUCAAGGAAUUGACGGGGCCCGCACAAGCGGUGGAGCAUGUGGUUUAAUUCGACGCAACGCGAAGAACCUUACCCAGGCUCGAAAUGCAGAUGACCAUCGGUGAAAGCCGACUCCCGCAAGGGCAACUGUAUAGGUGCUGCAUGGCUGUCGU
rnacentral:rRNA from 1 species